rnacentral:tRNA from 1 species
GCUGAGGUGGCAGAGGGUAUGCGUCAGGUUUAAGAGUUGGAGACGGGAGCGUGUUUCCCCCUCAGCA